AAGAACCCCAAUUAUUCAAUUUUUGAUGAAAUCAAACAAAGUUUAAUUUUGGACCCUUUGGGCCCCUUAUUCCUAAACUGUUGAGACCAAAACUCCCAAAAUCAAUCCCAACCUUCCUUUUAUGGUCAUAACCCUUGUGUUUAAAUUUCAUAGAUUUCUAUUUACUUAUACUAAAGUUAUGGUGUGAAAACCAAGAAAAAUGCUUAUUUGGGCCCCUUUUUGGCCCCUUAUUCCUAAACUGUUGGGAUCUCAACUCCCAAAUCAUUCCCAACCUUUCUUUUGUGUUCAUAAAUCUUGUGUUUAAAUUUCAUUGAUUUCUAUUUACUUAUGCUAAAGUUAUUGUGCGAAAACCAAGAAUAAUGCUUAUUUGGGUCCUUUUUUGGCCCCUAAUUCCUCAACAGUUGGAACCAAAACUCCAAAAAUAAUUCCCAACCUUUCUUUUGUGUUCAUAAACCUUGUGUCAAAAUUUCAUAGAUUUCUAUUUACUAAAAACUAAAGUUAUAGUGCGAAAACCAAGAAAAUGCUUAUUUGGUCCCUUUUUGGCCCCUAAUUCCUAAACUAUUGGGACCAAAACUUACAAAAUCAAUCCCAACCUUCCUUUUGUGGUCAUAAACCUUGUGUUUAAAUUUCAUAGAUUUCUAUUUACUUAAACUAAAGUUAUAGUGCGAAAACCAAAGUUAUUCGGACGACGACGCUGACGACAACGUGAUACCAAUAUACGACCAAAAAAUUUUCAAUUUUUGCGGUCGUAUAAAAAUAACUUCUUUCUAUAACAUAUUUGUAAAGAAUAUAUAUUUUAAUUGAAAAGAAAAAGCUCAAUAUGAGACAUGAAAAUGUUUUCACCCACUUCCUAUAAAUAAACCCAUUAAAAGAUUUACUCAAUACUUAAUUUAAACCAUGGAAAACAUUACUUCUGAAACUAAUGACACAGCCAAUAGUCACUUAUAAAUCUAACAGUAACAUAUAAAUUCUGCAGGGGCCUCAGUGGCUGAGUGGUCUAAGGUGUUACUACUAUAAUCACUAGCCAGUCCACACUUAGGUUGUGAGUUCGAACCCUGCUCGUGUGGCUGCACUCGACUUCAAUCUUAAUUGACUAGGAUUGUCAGUUUUCCUAUCGACAGGGGUUCAAAUUAACAUUUGGUACUGGAAGGUCCAGGACCUUUGACACUCAAAACUGAAAGGUCCACAACCUAAAUUGCAGGUCCUACUUUUACUUGAAAUAUUUUAUAACACAGUAAGAUACAAAAUUAUUGUGCCUUUGGUGUUAGGUUAUCUUGUUACAUUGUCAGUGUCACUGUUGUAUAAUAUGUUCAAUAAACUAAUAAAUAUAAUUGUCUUGUAUAUUAUGAAUUCAUAUUAUCUUUAUUUUUUUUUAUUUGUUAGGGUGUCACUGUUGGUAGGUGUGUUUGUGGGGGGGGGGAGGGAUUCAAUUUUCUCAUUUAGAUUUCAUAAAUAAAAAGAAAUUUCUUCAAACAUUUUUUUGAGAGGAGUAAUAUUCAACAGCAUAGUGAAUUGCUCAAAGGCAAAAAACAAAUUUUAAGUUUAUCAGACCACAUUCAUUCUGUGUCAGAAACCUAUGCUGUGUCAACUAUUUAAUCACAAUCCAAAUUUAGAGCUGAAUCCAGCUUGAAUGUUGUGUCCAUACUUGCCCCAACCGUUCAGGGUUCAACCUCUGUGGUCGUAUAAAGCUGUGCCCUGCGGAGCAUCUGGUUUUAUUCAGUUACAAUGAUGUAUGUGUUUAUUAUAUUUAUUUAAGUUUAUUAGAAUAAAAUGUACACAAUAUUUAACAUUUUAAUUCAAUGCCAGGAAAUGUUAUUUAUUUGCUUGAUUAUGGCCAGUGGCAAGUAUUUCAUACAUAUCCAGAAUGGGAACUGAGUAACAAUUACUUCAAUUGAUUUUCUGCAAGUUGUUCUACUUUGACAAAGGCACGUAAUUAGGAUAGGUUCAGAAAUUGUGCUAUUCAACAACCUUAGUUCCCUCAAAGAGUUGUUACAAAGAUUAACAUGCAGAGAAACCGGUGACAGUUUCACAAAAAUACUCAAAUCUAGAAUUGAUUGUAAGUAUAAUUACGGUUUAUCUUAGUCGUAAGUUUAUUUGUGAAAGGGAAUACUGGCUUUUUUCCUUUACAUGCAUAUUAGGAAACUGAGAG
rnacentral:lncRNA from 1 species